rnacentral:rRNA from 1 species
ACGCACGCUGGCGGCGUGCUUCACACAUGCAAGUCGCACGGUGAAGCCCUUCGGGGUGGAUCAGUGGCGAACGGGUGAGUAACACGUGAGCAACCUGCCCCUGGCUCUGGGACAACCACUGGAAACGGUGGCUAAUACCGGAUACGACCCGCCUCGGCAUCGAGUGUGGGUGGAAAGUUUUUCGGCUGGGGAUGGGCUCGCGGCCUAUCAGCUUGUUGGUGAGGUGAAGGCUCACCAAGGCGACGACGGGUAGCCGGCCUGAGAGGGCGACCGGCCACACUGGGACUGAGACACGGCCCAGACUCCUACGGGAGGCAGCAGUGGGGAAUAUUGCACAAUGGGCGAAAGCCUGAUGCAGCGACGCCGCGUGAGGGAUGACGGCCUUCGGGUUGUAAACCUCUUUCAGCUCCGAAGAAGCGAAAGUGACGGUAGGAGCAGAAGAAGCACCGGCUAACUACGUG